rnacentral:rRNA from 1 species
UUGGAGGGCAAGUCUGGUGCCAGCAGCCGCGGUAAUUCCAGCUCCAAUAGCGUAUAUUAAAGUUGUUGCAGUUAAAAAGCUCGUAGUUGAAUUUCGGGAUCAAUGUUUCGGUCAUGCCGUUGGUAUGUACUGAUAUUAUUGAUUUCUCACCUUCUAAAGAACCGUAAUGCCAUUAAUUUGGUGUCACGGGGAAUUAGGACUGUUACCUUGAAAAAAUUAGAGUGUUUAAAGCAGGCUCACGCUUGAAUACAUUAGCAUGGAAUAACGAAAUAGGACGUUUGAUUCUAUUUUGUUGGUUUCUAGGAUCGACGUAAUGAUUAAUAGGGAUAGUUGGGGGCAUUAGUAUUCAAUUGUCAGAGGUGAAAUUCUUGGAUUUAUUGAAGACUAACUACUGCGAAAGCAUUUGCCAAGGAUGUUUUCAUUAAUCAAGAACGAAAGUUAGGGGAUCGAAGACGAUCAGAUACCGUCGUAGUCUUAACCAUAAACUAUGCCGACUAGGGAUCGGAUGAUGUUAAUUUUAUAAUGACUCAUUCGGCGCCUUACGGGAAAC